rnacentral:rRNA from 1 species
GACGAACGCUGGCGGCGUGCCUAACACAUGCAAGUCGAGCGAAAUAUGUUGCUUCACUAAUGGCUCAAGAAUCAGACCUCAAGCACGAAGUGCUUCACGCUGAUUUACCAAGUGACAACACACUAAUUGAGUAAUUAGUGAAGCGACAUAUUAGCGGCGGACGGUGAGUAACGCGUGAGCAAUCUGCCUUACACAAAGGGAUAGCCUCGGGAAACUGGGAUUAAUACCAUAUGACACUUGGUAAUCGCAUGAGGACCAAGUCAAAGAUUUAUCGGUGUAAGAUGAGCUCGCUCUGAUUAGCUAGUUGGUGGGUAAAGGACUACCAAGGCGACGAUCAGUAGCCGGCCUGAGAGGGUGAACGGCCACACUGGAAUGAGACACGGUCCAGAACUCCUACGGGAGGCAGCAUGGGGGAAAUAAUUCAACAAGUAGGGCGGCGAACGACCGUACGAUGCGAGACGACGGACCGGCCGGCCG